GUGCCGCAAGACGUCGCGCCUGGCACGCACGUGACCUUUGACCUCACCUACCGGUUCCCGAUCUUCCAGCCCGUCGUGGGCCAGAGGAGGACUACGCCGCCACCAGCAGCAACGGAAGCGACAACCUUUUACGAACAGCAAAGUGGGGACCUUGUGUACCAAAGCGGGGACCUUGUGUACCAAAGCGGGGACCUUGUGUACCAAAGCGGGGACCUUGUGUACCAAAGCGGGGACCUUGUAUACCAAAGUGGAAGUGGGAACUAUGCCGGAACAAGUGCAAUUGAUGAAAGUAUUGGCGGAGACUAUAUGUACGGAAGUGGACUUGAAGAUGGAAGUGGAUCAGGGGCCGGAAUUGGAGACUAUACAGGGUCAAGUGAAUUCACAUAUUACGGUGGGAGUGAUUUUUCCGAUGAGGCAUCAAGCGGGCAAUCGCAACGUAAUGGCGGCUCAGGCCGUAAUAAAAGACAAGCAAACGGAAACGGAGGAACAGCAGCAACCAGUGCCGAAACAACGGGGGCGUUUGUCAGCACCAGUCCGAUUGUGACCUUCAUCGACCCAAUCAUGGUCGUCACUGCUACCCAGGCGGAGCCGUGCGGUGCCUCAGCCGGCCCCAGCGGACGCAGCGUUUCGCCGCUGUUCGACCUGCCGCCCGACACUGGCUACCGGCGCUUCCCCAC